CGAGUUGGUCGGACGGCCGCGGCGAAGGGAACCACGCGCGUCGGCGUGCAGGCCCGGCGCCGAGGAAAGUCCGGACUCCACAGAGCAGGGCGGUUGCUAACGGCAACCCGGGGUGACCCGCGGGACAGUGCCACAGAAAACAGACCGCCGGCGCGUGAGCGUCGGUGAGGGUGAAACGGUGCGGUAAGAGCGCACCAGCGCCCCGGGUGACCGGGGUGGCUAGGUAAACCCCGCCCGGAGCAAGGUCGAAGGCCGCACCUCACGGUGCGGCUGCGCAGGUGUUCGAGGGCUGCUCGCCCGAGCCUGCGGGUGGACCGCUCGAGGUACCCGGCAACGGUGUGCCCAGAUGGAUGGUCGUCGCCCGGCGCCUAGCGCCGGGAACAGGAUCCGGCUUACAGACCAACUCGUCCG
rnacentral:RNase_P_RNA from 2 species